rfam:Triticum aestivum genome assembly, contig: Triticum_aestivum_CS42_TGACv1_scaffold_577321_7BL
CGAGUAUUUCCUCCGUCCAGAAAUACUUUUCAUCAAAAUAAAUAAAAAGGGAUGUAUCUAGAUGUAUUUUAGUUUUAGAUACAUUCAUUUUUGUUCAUUUUGAUGACAAGUAUUUUCGGACGGAGGGAGUACUCG